UACGUAGGGGGCAAGCGUUGUCCGGAUUCAUUGGGCGUAAAGAGCGUGUAGGCGGCCAGGUAGGUCGGUUGUGAAAACUGGAGGCUCAACCUUCAGACGUCGACCGAAACCAUCUGGCUAGAGUCCGGGAGAGGAGAGUGGAAUUCCUGGUGUAGCGGUGAAAUGCGCAGAUAUCAGGAGGAACACCAAUAGCGAAGGCAGCUCGCUGGGACGGUACUGACGCUGAGGCGCGAAAGCGUGGGGAGCGAACAGG
rnacentral:rRNA from 1 species